UAAACCAGGACCCUUUUCAUGCUGUGAUGAACAAGAAGUCUGCAUAUCAGCUGUUUUCUACCCUCUAACAAGGCUGAUGCAACCUAAUAUUUUGAGUUUGAAUACAGGAAUGCAGGGACCGGAUACCUUUCAUCCAGGGGGUUUCAUUCACAUGCCUUCAUGGUUUCUCCAUCUAGACCUUCUGUGAAGAGGAAGGAAGGGAGGCAAUUAUGCAGAAAUAUUUCAGCUGUGCAAAGUGUUUUUUAAACAUCACUAAAUGAGAAUCUUAGGAUCCUAGACUCUUGCUUUGGAUUAGUGGAAACAUUUAAAUGUUAUCUAGUCUAACCCCCUGCAAAAAGCUGAGAUAUAUUCCACUAGACAGGUUGCUCAGAGCUGCAUCUAACCUGACCUUGAAGACUUCCCUGGAUGAGAUAUCCUGAAGCCACAAGACGGGUAUCACAGAAGCAUUAAGGCCACAAGGACCUCUCAAAUAUCACAGAAAAUUUGAAUGUAUAGAAAGCCCAUCAGAUGACAGCCUGCCAGGUGGAAGAUACAUAUUUUGGACCACCAUCAGUAGCAAUCCAUUGUCAUCAAGCUGACAAUACAAGAAACAUGAAAAAUGAACUGUCACAAAGUUCUUUGCAUGGUCAGUGAUCCAAAAAAUGCCAAAGAUUUUCUGAAACUUUGACACAUAGCAAAUUAUUCCUUCGUUAAUUCUUUGAGAAUGUAGAGUAAGAAAAUUUAUGUAAAAAAGUUAUGUCCUAAAUCACUUGCAGAUCUGUACCUUCCUGUCUCAAUUAAAAAAAAA